rnacentral:rRNA from 1 species
GUGAGGAAUUUUCCGCAAUGGGCGAAAGCCUGACGGAGCAAUGCCGCGUGAAGGAUGAAGGCCUAUGGGUUGUAAACUUCUUUUCUCAGAAAAGAAUUAUGACGGUAUCUGAGGAAUAAGCAUCGGCUAACUCUGUGCCAGCAGCCGCGGUAAGACAGAGGAUGCAAGCGUUAUCCGGAAUGAUUGGGCGUAAAGCGUCUGUAGGUUGUUUAAAAAGUAUUCUGUCAAAGAUUAGGGCUUAACCCUAGAUAGGCAGAAUAAACUUUUAAGCUAGAGUUUGGUAGAGGCAGAGGGAAUUCCCGGUGGAGCGGUGGAAUGCGUAGAUAUCGGGAGGAACACCAAAGGCGAAGGCACUCUGCUGGGCCAAUACUAACACUGAGAGACGAAAGCGAGGGGAGCAAAUGGGAUUAGAUACCCCGGUAGUCC